CAGCAGCCGCGGUAAUACGAAGGGUGCAAGCGUUACUCGGAAUUACUGGGCGUAAAGCGUGCGUAGGUGGUGGUUUAAGUCCGUUGUGAAAGCCCUGGGCUCAACCUGGGAAUUGCAGUGGAUACUGGAUCACUAGAGUGUGAUAGAGGAUAGUGGAAUUUCCGGUGUAGCAGUGAAAUGCGUAGAGAUCGGAAGGAACAUCUGUGGCGAAGGCGACUAUCUGGGCCAACACUGACACUGAGGCACGAAAGCGUGGGGAGCAAACAGGAUUAGAUACCCCUGUAGUCCCUGUCUCUUAUAC
rnacentral:rRNA from 1 species